rnacentral:rRNA from 1 species
UACAGAGGUCCCAAGCGUUGUUCGGAAUUACUGGGCUUGAAGCGCACGUAGGCGGCGUUGUAAGUGUCGGGUGAAAUCCCACGGCUCACCCGUGGAACUGCCCGGCAUACUGCGAUGCUAGAGUGUGGUAGGGGAGAGCGGAACUCCUGGUGGAGCGGUGAAAUGCGUAGAUAUCAGGAGGAACACCGGUGGCGAAGGCGGCUCUCUGGUCCACAACUGACGCUGAGGUGCGAAAGCUAGGGGAGCAAACGGG